rnacentral:lncRNA from 1 species
GUCGAUUGGGCGUGAAGAAGCUAGGCGUCCAAGGGCGUCGCGGGUCAGUCAGCAGAUCGGGCAGUGGCGGAGACGCGGCAGAGGCUCGGUGAGCGUGGCGGACGGACCCUGGCACUGAACUCGGGCAUCGUGGGCGGAGAUCUCGAGGCCGGCAAACGCAGCAAGUCGCGGCCGAUCGCGAAUCAAGCAGGAGCAACGACGUCUGGUUGCAGCAGUGGAGCUUCGGGCUGAGGGCAGAGCAGAAACGGCGGUGGCGGGGACUCGGGAUCUGGUGCUCGGGUAGAGGUUCGGAGGUGGAGCGGCGAGGCGGCAACGCUGGUGCACGGCUACUGGCGGAACGGCGGUGGCGGGAGCAGAGGCGAACGGAGCAGGAGCAGCGUCGGUGGUGCUCGGUGAUGGCGAGCGAGAGACCUGCAG